GACGAACGCUGGCGGCGUGCUUAACACAUGCAAGUCGAACGGUGAAGGGGUCUGCUUUUGUGGGCCCUGGAUGAGUGGCGAACGGGUGAGUAACACGUGAGUAACCUGCCCCCUUCUUCUGGAUAACCGCAUGAAAGUGUGGCUCAUACGGGAUAUUCUGGGUCUGUCGCAUGAUGGGUCUGGGAAAGAUUGCGCCUUUGGGUGUUUUUGGUGGGGGAUGGGCUCGCGGCCUAUCAGCUUGUUGGUGGGUUGAUGGCCUACCAAGGCGGUGACGGGUAGCCGGCGGGAGAGGGUGGACGGUCGCAGUGGAACUGAGACACGGCGCAGACGCCUACGGGCGGAAGCAGUGGGGAGGAUUGAGCAAUGGGCGCAAGCCUGAGGCAGCGACGCGCGUGAGGGAUGGAGGCCUUCGGGUUGUAAACCUCUUUCGCCAGUGAAGCAGGCCUGCUCCAUGUGGGUGGGUUGACGGUAGCUGGAUAAGAAGCGCCGGCUAACUACGUG
rnacentral:rRNA from 1 species